GCGAUCAUAGUUCAGGGGUAGAAUUCAAGCUUCCCAUGCUUGAGGCACGGGUUCGAGUCCCGUUGGUCGCA